GAUCAUGGCUCAGGAUGAACGCUAGCUACAGGCUUAACACAUGCAAGUCGAGGGGAAACGACAUCGAAAGCUUGCUUUUGAUGGGCGUCGACCGGCGCACGGGUGAGUAACGCGUAUCCAACCUGCCCGUCACUUGGGGAUAACCUUGCGAAAGUAAGACUAAUACCCCAAUGAUAUCUCUAGACGACAUCUGAAAGGGAUUAAAGAUUUAUCGGUGAUGGAUGGGGAUGCGUCUGAUUAGCUUGUUGGCGGGGUAACGGCCCACCAAGGCAACGAUCAGUAGGGGUUCUGAGAGGAAGGUCCCCCACAUUGGAACUGAGACACGGUCCAAACUCCUACGGGAGGCAGCAGUGAGGAAUAUUGGUCAAUGGGCGAGAGCCUGAACCAGCCAAGUAGCGUGCAGGACGACGGCCCUAUGGGUUGUAAACUGCUUUUAUAAGGGAAUAAAGUGAGUCUCGUGAGACUUUUUGCAUGUACCUUAUGAAUAAGGACCGGCUAAUUCCGUG
rnacentral:rRNA from 1 species